rnacentral:tRNA from 1 species
GGCCCAGUGGUCUAGGGGUAUGAUUUGCGCUUUGGGCGACGAAAAAUUUCAUCCAAUUUCAUAAAAUUGUAUGAUGAUGAUGAUGAUUGUCUAAAUAUGCGCGAGGUCCCGGGUUCAAAUCCCGGCUGGGCCC